CAGCAGCCGCGGUAACACGGAGGGUGCAAGCGUUAAUCGGAAUUACUGGGCGUAAAGCGCACGCAGGCGGUUUGUUAAGUCAGAUGUGAAAUCCCCGAGCUUAACUUGGGAACUGCAUUUGAAACUGGCAAGCUAGAGUCUUGUAGAGGGGGGUAGAAUUCCAGGUGUAGCGGUGAAAUGCGUAGAGAUCUGGAGGAAUACCGGUGGCGAAGGCGGCCCCCUGGACAAAGACUGACGCUCAGGUGCGGAAGCGUGGGGAGCAAACAGGAUUAGAGACCCCUGUAGUCCCUGUCUCUUAUAC
rnacentral:rRNA from 1 species